AANACUGCUUUUAUAUGUGACGAUUUUGACGGUAGCAUAUGAACUAAGGAUCGGUUAACUCCGUGCCAGCAGCCGCGGUCAUACGGAGGAUCCAAGCGUUAUCCGGAAUUACUGGGCGUAAAGAGUUGCGUAGGUGGCAUUGUAAGCGAGUAGUGAAAGCGUUCGGCUCAACCGGAUACACAUUACUCGAACUGCAGAGCUAGAGGACGAGAGAGGUAAUUGGAAUUCCUAAUGUAGGGGUAAAAUCCGUUGAUAUUAGGAGGAACACCGAUGGCGUAGGCAGAUUACUGGCUCGUUCCUGACACUAAGGCACGAAAGCGUGGGGAGCAAACAGGAUUAGAUACCCUGGUAGUCCACGCCGUAAACGAUGGAUGCUAGCUGUUAUCGGUAUCGACCCCGGUAGUAGCGAAGCUAACGCGUUAAGCAUCCCGCCUGUGGAGUACGGUCGCAAGACUAAAACAUAAAGGAAUUGACGGGGACCCGCACAAGCGGUGGAGCGUGUUGUUUAAUUCGAUGGUAAACGAAGAACCUUACCCAGGCUUGACAUCCUUGGAAUUUCUGCGAAAGCAGAGAGUGCUUUCUCUGAGCCAAGUGACAGGUGAUGCAUGGG
rnacentral:rRNA from 1 species